rnacentral:rRNA from 1 species
UGCGUAGGUGGUUUAAUAAGUUAGCUGUGAAAUUCCUGGGCUCAACCUAGGGUGGUCAGCUAAGACUGUUAGACUCGAGUAUGGGAGAGGGUAGUGGAAUUUCCGGUGUAGCGGUGAAAUGCGUAGAGAUCGGAAGGAACAUCAGUGGCGAAGGCGGCUACCUGGCCUAAUACUGACACUGAGGCACGAAAGCGUGGGGAGCAAACA